rnacentral:siRNA from 1 species
GUACUGUACAAAAUAAAGGAAUCA